GGUUAAGCGACUAAGCGUACACGGUGGAUGCCCUGGCAGUCAGAGGCGAUGAAGGACGUGCUAAUCUGCGAUAAGCGCCGGUAAGGUGAUAUGAACCGUUAUAACCGGCGAUUUCCGAAUGGGGAAACCCAGUGUGAUUCGUCACACUAUCAUUAACUGAAUCCAUAGGUUAAUGAGGCGAACCGGGGGAACUGAAACAUCUAAGUACCCCGAGGAAAAGAAAUCAACCGAGAUUCCCCCAGUAGCGGCGAGCGAACGGGGAGGAGCCCAGAGCCUGAAUCAGCAUGUGUGUUAGUGGAAGCGUCUGGAAAGGCGCGCGAUACAGGGUGACAGCCCCGUACACAAAAGCGCAUGUGCUGUGAGCUCGAUGAGUAGGGCGGGACACGUGGUAUCCUGUCUGAAUAUGGGGGGACCAUCCUCCAAGGCUAAAUACUCCUGACUGACCGAUAGUGAACCAGUACCGUGAGGGAAAGGCGAAAAGAACCCCGGCGAGGGGAGUGAAAAAGAACCUGAAACCGUGUACGUACAAGCAGUGGGAGCACAGGUUUACCUGUGUGACUGCGUACCUUUUGUAUAAUGGGUCAGCGACUUAUAUUCUGUAGCAAGGUUAACCGUAUAGGGGAGCCGUAGGGAAACCGAGUCUUAACCGGGCGUUAAGUUGCAGGGUAUAGACCCGAAACCCGGUGAUCUAGCCAUGGGCAGGUUGAAGGUUGGGUAACACUAACUGGAGGACCGAACCGACUAAUGUUGAAAAAUUAGCGGAUGACCUGUGGCUGGGGGUGAAAGGCCAAUCAAACCGGGAGAUAGCUGGUUCUCCCCGAAAGCUAUUUAGGUAGCGCCUCGUGAAUUCAUCUCCGGGGGUAGAGCACUGUUUCGGCUAGGGGGCCAUCCCGGCUUACCAACCCGAUGCAAACUGCGAAUACCGGAGAAUGUUAUCACGGGAGACACACGGCGGGUGCUAACGUCCGUCGUGAAGAGGGAAACAACCCAGACCGCCAGCUAAGGUCCCAAAGUCAUGGUUAAGUGGGAAACGAUGUGGGAAGGCCCAGACAGCCAGGAUGUUGGCUUAGAAGCAGCCAUCAUUUAAAGAAAGCGUAAUAGCUCACUGGUCGAGUCGGCCUGCGCGGAAGAUGUAACGGGGCUAAACCAUGCACCGAAGCUGCGGCAGCGACGCUGAUGCGUUGUUGGGUAGGGGAGCGUUCUGUAAGCCUGCGAAGGUGACCUGUGAGGGUUGCUGGAGGUAUCAGAAGUGCGAAUGCUGACAUAAGUAACGAUAAAGCGGGUGAAAAGCCCGCUCGCCGGAAGACCAAGGGUUCCUGUCCAACGUUAAUCGGGGCAGGGUGAGUCGACCCCUAAGGCGAGGCCGAAAGGCGUAGUCGAUGGGAAACGGGUUAAUAUUCCCGUACUUGGUGUUACUGCGAAGGGGGGACGGAGAAGGCUAUGUUGGCCGGGCGACGGUUGUCCCGGUUUAAGCGUGUAGGUGUGUGUUCCAGGUAAAUCCGGUUCACUUUAACACUGAGGCGUGAUGACGAGGCACUACGGUGCUGAAGCAACAAAUGCCCUGCUUCCAGGAAAAGCCUCUAAGCAUCAGGUAACAUCAAAUCGUACCCCAAACCGACACAGGUGGUCAGGUAGAGAAUACCAAGGCGCUUGAGAGAACUCGGGUGAAGGAACUAGGCAAAAUGGUGCCGUAACUUCGGGAGAAGGCACGCUGACACGUAGGUGAAGUGAUUUACUCACGGAGCUGAAGUCAGUCGAAGAUACCAGCUGGCUGCAACUGUUUAUUAAAAACACAGCACUGUGCAAACACGAAAGUGGACGUAUACGGUGUGACGCCUGCCCGGUGCCGGAAGGUUAAUUGAUGGGGUCAGCGCAAGCGAAGCUCCUGAUCGAAGCCCCGGUAAACGGCGGCCGUAACUAUAACGGUCCUAAGGUAGCGAAAUUCCUUGUCGGGUAAGUUCCGACCUGCACGAAUGGCGUAAUGAUGGCCAGGCUGUCUCCACCCGAGACUCAGUGAAAUUGAACUCGCUGUGAAGAUGCAGUGUACCCGCGGCAAGACGGAAAGACCCCGUGAACCUUUACUAUAGCUUGACACUGAACAUUGAGCCUUGAUGUGUAGGAUAGGUGGGAGGCUUUGAAGUGUGGACGCCAGUCUGCAUGGAGCCGACCUUGAAAUACCACCCUUUAAUGUUUGAUGUUCUAACGUGGACCCGUAAUCCGGGUUGCGGACAGUGUCUGGUGGGUAGUUUGACUGGGGCGGUCUCCUCCUAAAGAGUAACGGAGGAGCACGAAGGUUGGCUAAUCCUGGUCGGACAUCAGGAGGUUAGUGCAAUGGCAUAAGCCAGCUUGACUGCGAGCGUGACGGCGCGAGCAGGUGCGAAAGCAGGUCAUAGUGAUCCGGUGGUUCUGAAUGGAAGGGCCAUCGCUCAACGGAUAAAAGGUACUCCGGGGAUAACAGGCUGAUACCGCCCAAGAGUUCAUAUCGACGGCGGUGUUUGGCACCUCGAUGUCGGCUCAUCACAUCCUGGGGCUGAAGUAGGUCCCAAGGGUAUGGCUGUUCGCCAUUUAAAGUGGUACGCGAGCUGGGUUUAGAACGUCGUGAGACAGUUCGGUCCCUAUCUGCCGUGGGCGCUGGAGAACUGAGGGGGGCUGCUCCUAGUACGAGAGGACCGGAGUGGACGCAUCACUGGUGUUCGGGUUGUCAUGCCAAUGGCACUGCCCGGUAGCUAAAUGCGGAAGAGAUAAGUGCUGAAAGCAUCUAAGCACGAAACUUGCCCCGAGAUGAGUUCUCCCUGAGACUUAGAGUCUCCUGAAGGAACGUUGAAGACGACGACGUUGAUAGGCCGGGUGUGUAAGCGCAGCGAUGCGUUGAGCUAACCGGUACUAAUGAACCGUGAGGCUUAACCUU
rnacentral:rRNA from 2 species